rnacentral:rRNA from 1 species
UACGAAGGGGGCUAGCGUUGCUCGGAAUCACUGGGCGUAAAGGGUGCGUAGGCGGGGUUUUAAGUCAGGGGUGAAAUCCUGGAGCUCAACUCCAGAACUGCCUUUGAUACUGAAGAUCUUGAGUUCGGGAGAGGUGAGUGGAACUGCGAGUGUAGAGGUGAAAUUCGUAGAUAUUCGCAAGAACACCAGUGGCGAAGGCGGCUCACUGGCCCGAUACCGACGCUGAGGCACGAAAGCGUGGGGAGCAAACAGG